rnacentral:lncRNA from 1 species
AUAAUUUUUGUGUGAUGAAAUGAUAUAUAAAUGAUUUUUUUAAUAAAUAAUGAUUAGUGAUGACAUACGUUGAUAUAAGAGCUUUAAGACAAACAUUGCUAUAAGCAAGAGAUAUAUUUUCAACGAACCGACCUGAUGAGUCGAGAUAAGGAAUUUGAGGAAUUUGGAGAAGAACUAUACAGAUAAGAAGAACUAACAAUAUUAUAAGUUGAAUAUUAUGAGGAAAUUUAAGACAAUAAGAGACCCACUGCUCUUGUCAAAUUAGGAAGGUACUAAGUGAUUUAUAGAAGCUUGAAAGCUUAUUAGAGACCCACUCUGUGUUUUGAAGGGUACCUAUUUUAUUCACGAUUAUUCGUGAUUAAACAAUGGAUUUAAAGCAAGGGAUUGAGGUCGUGAAAUAUGUAGAAGAAUUGGAUCUAUGCAACGGAGUUAUACCCGCUUUUAUUUAGGUAAAAUGCAGAGGUUUCGUGGCUAGUAUUGAGUAUUAUGAUUGUUAUAUGGAGUAUGUAGAAGAAUUGGAACUUUCCUCUCGAGUAAGGCCGCUUUGAUUAGUCGAACGUAGGCAUUGAGGGAUAAGUAAUAAGUAAAGGAAGUGAUUAUUAUGAUGUUAUAUUAUGAAAUGAUAUAUUGAUGAUUAAAUAACAAAUGAUUGUUAUAUAAAAUAUGUAUAUGAAGAUAAAUUAUGUACACUGUAGAAGUGUUAUUAUGUGAAGAAAAAUGAAGAAAUAUAGUUAUAGUACCAGACAAGUAGAAGAAGAGAGAGAAAAAAAGAGAAUUUUAUUAAAAUAUGUGGGAGAAAUGAAAGAAGAGACAUAAAAUUUGCCAGAAAUGUCAAAAUAAACAAGCAGAAUUAAGAAUAAUAUACUAAUCAAUUAAGUAGCUAAUCAUUGAAUUAUGUCUAAGAAUUAAAGUUGUAAUUUUUUUCUCUAAAGAAACGUAAAUUACAAAUAACUUAUUUUUAAAUGUAGAUAAUGAAUUCAGGUUAAAUUUUCGCGGAAAAUGGAAGUGUUUGAAUUAAGGAUAGACAAUAUCUUACAAUAGUGUUAGUAGA